rnacentral:rRNA from 1 species
GAUGAACGCUGGCGGCGUGCCUAACACAUGCAAGUCGAGCGAUUUACUUCGGUAAAGAGCGGCGGACGGGUGAGUAACGCGUGGGUAACCUGCCUCAUACACAUGGAUAACAUACCGAAAGGUAUGCUAAUACAAGAUGAUAUAAGAGAUUCGCAUGGAUUUCUUAUCAAAGCUCCGGCGGUAUGAGAUGGACCCGCGUCUGAUUAGCUAGUUGGUAAGGUAACGGCUUACCAAGGCGACGAUCAGUAGCCGACCUGAGAGGGUGAUCGGCCACAUUGGAACUGAGACACGGUCCAAACUCCUACGGGAGGCAGCAGUGGGGAAUAUUGCACAAUGGGCGAAAGCCUGACGCAGCAACGCCGCGUGAGUGAUGAAGGCCUUCGGGUCGUAAAGCUCUGUCCUCAAGGAAGAUAAUGACGGUACUUGAGGAGGAAGCCCCGGCUAACUACGUGCCAGCCGCCGCCGUAAUAC